rnacentral:rRNA from 1 species
AUUGACCGCUGGCGGCAGGCCUAACACAUGCAAGUCGAGCGAGCGGCGGACGGGUGAGUAAUGUCUGGGAAACUGCCUGAUGGAGGUGGAUAACUACUGGAAACGGUUGCUCAUACCGCACACCCUCCGAUGUGCCCAGCUGGGAUUAGCUAGUAGGUGGGGUAACGGCUCCCCCAGGCGACGAUCCCUAGCUGGUCUGAGAGGAUGACCAGCCACACGGGAACUGAGACACGGUCCAGACUCCUACGGGAGGCAGCAGUGGGGAAUAUUGCACAAUGGGCGAAAGCCUGAUGCAGCCAUGCCGCGGGUGUGAAGAAGGCCUUCGGGUUGUAAAGCACUUUCAGCGGGGAGGCGUUACCCGCAGAAGAAGCACCGGCUAACUCCGUGCCAGCCGCCGCGGUAAUUC